rnacentral:rRNA from 1 species
AUUGAACGCUGGCGGCAGGCCUAACACAUGCAAGUCGAGCGGUAGCACAGAGAGCUUGCUCUCGGGUGACGAGCGGCGGACGGGUGAGUAAUGUCUGGGAAACUGCCUGAUGGAGGGGGAUAACUACUGGAAACGGUAGCUAAUACCGCAUAAUGUCGCAAGACCAAAGUGGGGGACCUUCGGGCCUCAUGCCAUCAGAUGUGCCCAGAUGGGAUUAGCUGGUAGGUGGGGUAAAGGCUCACCUAGGCGACGAUCUCUAGCUGGUCUGAGAGGAUGACCAGCCACACUGGAACUGAGACACGGUCCAGACUCCUACGGGAGGCAGCAGUGGGGAAUAUUGCACAAUGGGCGCAAGCCUGAUGCAGCCAUGCCGCGUGUGUGAAGAAGGCCUUCGGGUUGUAAAGCACUUUCAGCGGGGAGGAAGGCGGUGAGGUUAAUAACCUCAUCGAUUGACGUUACCCGCAGAAGAAGCACCGGCUAACUCCGUGCCAGCCGCCGCAGUAACAC